AUUUUACUUAAUUCUAUGAGAGAAUUUAAUAUCUUCAACAUUUUUUUUAAUUUUUAUUAGUUCUUUUUUAUGUGUAAUUUGCCUUCAACACUUGGUUAGGUUUUCUAGAUCAGAAGAUCAUGGACAUGAUAGAUGUGAUUGAUUAAAUUCUUGCACAAUAAUGGGUGCUUGUGGUCUACUCUAACUCAACUCUAACUAUAAGGCACCAUGGUGGAACU
rnacentral:lncRNA from 1 species